rnacentral:lncRNA from 1 species
GACGAUUUCCAACAAGGUUUCACCAUUUUCAGGUAAUCACUUGACAUCAUAUAAUCAUAUAUAGUACUAUUUGACAUCCUUCUUUCGUCUUGUUUUUAUAAUAUCAUCCAAAUGAACCAGCAAUUAAUGUUAUAUUCAUCAAAAUCAAAUAAAAAACAAGAACCAAAUUUAAUAAUCUCAGUUCCAGGUUAUGAAACUCACGCUUCAAGACCGCAACAACAAUUCUUGAACAUAUAUAGGCUCUACGACAACCAGACACCAUUAAUAUGUACAAUUCUUAGAUGAAGACCAAAAGGGUAUGGGCUAAAUGAACUGAAAAACUUGUGUGGUUGUAUUCAAAAGACAAGAAAGCAAUAGUUUUUAUGUGAGUUCAGAGAAUAUGGAGGCUUGCUGGUGCUAUGUACCUUGAAUCUUGGUUAAAUGUGUUUGGUCCUCCACACUGUGCCAUCUCACAAGGAACAGACUUAGCUGUAAAAGAACAUAAAGAUCUGAUACAAGACAGAGUUUGGUCUGAGAUCAGAGAGAUGAUCAAAAGGGGAGCAAGGGCAAUGGAUAAGAAAAAAAAUAAUUUUGGAGCCUUUUGACAGACGAUCUUCAGUUUGUUGUCAGAUGAGAUCCAGGAUGGGAAAUAAUAAAGAGACUUAAUUUUACAAACUCUGACAUUGUUGUUGUUUUUUCAAUUUUUCUUUCUUGUGGCCGAGUGGGU